GGGAACCUGAGUUGGAUCCUAAAAAAAAAUCCAACAGCCGUAUGAAGAAAAAAAAGUGGCUACCAAAGAAAUCAAUUAUUGGUGCUGAUGGAGAGAUGAAACGGCAGCAAGCGUUGGACAGUGGGAAAGAAAAAUGCAUUAAUGACCAUCUCUCAAAUUUAAGACAAAAGGAACGCAUGAUUUUGCAGACCAAAGCAUCUAUCUUCUUCUUAAACUUCUCUCUCUCGAAAACGCUCAGCCUCUACCUUGCCGAGUUCCCAAACCCUAAUCGCGAACGAAACCCCCCAAAUGCCAAACGAAAAACAAUCACCAUGGAUCACCCUCAACACAAACAAAUCUCGCAUGGAAAGAAACAGUUACAGAUACAUUCGAAAAUUCAAAUACGAAGUAAUGAAAAAGGCGAGAAAACUACCAAGUCGAUAUGUUUCAGAAGUGAGCGACUAGAGUAACGGUGCUUCCUCUUAUAUCCUCUUACCGACGAUUUCAGUUAAACUCUUGUGAUGACAUGCUUGGUUCCCUGUGAAACAUUCCUUUUGGUUAUGUUUGUAACAGGAUGCUAUGAUGCUACGCAAUUCGUGCUGGCCUAAUGCAUACGUAGGAUGGAUAAGGAGACCAUUCCAGGAUGCUGUCAUGGAUGCAAGUACAUGGUCGAUGAAGAUUAGGUAUCACAGGGUGUUUAUGACUUUAACUGGUUACAAUUCUGGCAUCAUCAUCACUUCAUUUUUUUGACAGGUUGUAGUUGUGAAAUUAGUUUGUAGGUUCAACAGUAUUGAAUGGAUCUCCUCUUGCAAGCUUAAGUUUAUUUUUGAAAGUGGUAUUUGAGAAGAGUGAACUUAUUAUGCAUUCCUGUUCUUCGGAUAACUUGCAGGCAAGGCCCCCAUUAAGUUGAAGCAAUUUCGUCUGCUAUUUGGAUGAGUCAGAGGGUUUUGGUUGCAGCAAAGAUUAUUGUUUAGGAGACAUCGGUUAAUGAUGAUGCCACUGUGGCCAGGAGUUAUGUGCAGGAAAAAAGCAAGUUAGCCGACGACCGUCACGGAUCCUGCCCUUGAUUAUCAGCCUACGACUCUGUUUCAGCUGUGUUUUCAAAAAUGUGCCCUCCACAAAGCUCACCUGAAUAAUCCAGAUCGGGCAUGUGAGGAACCAAGUAGAGGUUCUGAUGAUUUCCAACGAGAAGAAGCGGUAUGAGCAGUUGCUAACACCCUAGCUGAAGGCAUAGAACCUUGAAGCAUUUGAGCUACUUGUACUGACUUGAGAAGCACUAUUUCCAGGCUGUUGAUCAAUUUUAAGUGAAUCAGGUUGAGAUGUGCUUAAUGACUCAGAAUGCCCCUGACAGUUAUGUUGCAAUGUCGUCUGAAUAUUUGGUUUCGUUUGAUUAAUUUGCUUAGACUGUGUCUGAGAUUGCACCUGCAGUUGGUGAUGGUUGGGAGCAACAGCAGCAGGCUGUGUUGGUGUAGCUAUAUGACCUUAAAUAACCGGUGAAACUGGAACUUGUAUGUUACUGUCAUAAGAAGUUGCCAAUGGCUUAUGUUGCUUCAAUGAAGACCUGGUUGAUCCAGAAUGUAGCUUCUGCUGCAAUUGGCAAUUAUUAGAAGGAUGAGCAGAACCUGGUGGCUUGGGUGGUUCGCUUGGGUCUAAACCAGAUCCAAAACAUAAAGCUUGCUCCUGCAUCAUUUGUGUGUUUUGAUUACUUUUCUCAAUAGGUUGGCUUCCUGAAGCAGUUGCCUUUCCUUUGCCAAUUGGAUUGCAUAGGCCUGUUAUGAAUUUGAGGCAUGGUUUUGUAUAUGUUGUACUGAUGCUUAGGUCAUGUGCUUUGGUCAUUGUAUGGUGUACGUCAGCAUGUGAGUUGUUUUUUGGUUGUAAUGAGAAUGGACAAGGUUUAUGUGUUUUGGUUAUAAUAAUUUAUGUAAUACAGUUUUGGCUUUUUGGCUUUUGAAAUGAACAUGGUUUGUAUUA